rnacentral:rRNA from 1 species
AUGCACGCUGGCGGCGUGCCUAAUCCAUGCAAGUCGAGCGAGCAGACGAGGAGCUUGCUCCUCUGACGUUAGCGGCGGACGGGUGAGUAACACGUGGAUAACCUACCUAUAAGACUGGGAUAACUUCGGGAAACCGGAGCUAAUACCGGAUAAUAUAUUGAACCGCAUGGUUCAAUAGUGAAAGACGGUUUUGCUGUCACUUAUAGAUGGAUCCGCGCCGCAUUAGCUAGUUGGUAAGGUAACGGCUUACCAAGGCAACGAUGCGUAGCCGACCUGAGAGGGUGAUCGGCCACACUGGAACUGAGACACGGUCCAGACUCCUACGGGAGGCAGCAGUAGGGAAUCUUCCGCAAUGGGCGAAAGCCUGACGGAGCAACGCCGCGUGAGUGAUGAAGGUCUUCGGAUCGUAAAACUCUGUUAUUAGGGAAGAACAAAUGUGUAAGUAACUAUGCACGUCUUGACGGUACCUAAUCAGAAAGCCACGGCUAACUACGUG